rnacentral:rRNA from 1 species
GCAAGUCGAGGGCGAGCAUAACGAAAGACUUGCUUUGUUGAUGGCGACCGGCGCACGGGUGAGUAACGCGUAUCCAACCUUCCCCACUAGUAGAGGAUAGCCCGGCGAAAGUCGGAUUAAUACUCUAUGUUGUAUUUUGAGGACAUCUGACGAAUACCAAAGAUUGAUCGCUAUGGGAUGGGGAUGCGUCUGAUUAGCUUGUUGGCGGGGUAACGGCCCACCAAGGCGACGAUCAGUAGGGGUUCUGAGAGGAAGGUCCCCCACAUUGGUACUGAGACACGGACCAAACUCCUACGGGAGGCAGCAGUGAGGAAUAUUGGUCAAUGGACGAGAGUCUGAACCAGCCAAGUAGCGUGCAAGGAUGACUGCCCUAUGGGUUGUAAACUGCUUUUAUGCGGGAAUAAAGUCAGGUACGUGUACCUGUUUGUAUGUACCGCAUGAAUAAGGACCGGCUAAUUCCGUGCCAGCCGCAGC